CAGCCGCCGCGGUAAAACGAAGGGGGCUAGCGUUGUUCGGAUUUACUGGGCGUAAAGCGCACGUAGGCGGAUUCUUAAGUCAGAGGUGAAAUCCCAAAGCUCAACCUUGGAACUGCCUUUGAUACUGGGGAUCUUGAGUCCGGGAGAGGUGAGUGGAACUGCGAGUGUAGAGGUGAAAUUCGUAGAUAUUCGCAAGAACACCAGUGGCGAAGGCGGCUCACUGGCCCGGUACUGACGCUGAGGUGCGAAAGCGUGGGGAGCAAACAGGAUUAGAUACCCGCGUAGUCCCUGUCUCUUAUAA
rnacentral:rRNA from 1 species